rnacentral:rRNA from 1 species
GUAGCAAGGUUAACCGUAUAGGGGAGCCGAAGGGAAACCGAGUCUUAACUGGGCGUUAAGUUGCAGGGUAUAGACCCGAAACCCGGUGAUCUAGCCAUGGGCAGGUUGAAGGUUGGGUAACACUAACUGGAGGACCGAACCGACUAAUGUUGAAAAAUUAGCGGAUGACUUGUGGCUGGGGGUGAAAGGCCAAUCAAACCGGGAGAUAGCUGGUUCUCCCCGAAAGCUAUUUAGGUAGCGCCUCGUGAACUCAUCUUCGGGGGUAGAGCACUGUUUCGGCUAGGGGGUCAUCCCGACUUACCAACCCGAUGCAAACUGCGAAUACCGAAGAAUGUUAUCACGGGAGACACACGGCGGGUGCUAACGUCCGUCGUGAAGAGGGAAACAACCCAGACCGCCAGCUAAGGUCCCAAAGUCACAGUUAAGUGGGAAACGAUGUGGGAAGGCUCAGACAGCCAGGAUGUUGGCUUAGAAGCAGCCAUCAUUUAAAGAAAGCGUAAUAGCUCACUGGUCGAGUCGGCCUGCGCGGAAGAUGUAACGGGGCUAAACUGUGCACCGAAGCUGCGGCAGCGACGCUUAUGCGUUGUUGGGUAGGGGAGCGUUCUGUAAGCCUGCGAAGGUGUCCUGUGAGGGAUGCUGGAGGUAUCAGAAGUGCGAAUGCUGACAUAAGUAACGAUAAUGCGGGUGAAAAGCCCGCUCGCCGGAAGACCAAGGGUUCCUGUCCAACGUUAAUCGGGGCAGGGUGAGUCGACCCCUAAGGCGAGGCCGAAAGGCGUAGUCGAUGGGAAACGGGUUAAUAUUCCCGUACUUGGUGUUACUGCGAAGGGGGGACGGAGAAGGCUAUGUUGGCCGGGCGACGGUUGUCCCGGUUUAAGCGUGUAGGCUGGUUUUCCAGGCAAAUCCGGAAAAUCAAG